rnacentral:lncRNA from 1 species
CCUGGUUGAGCGUUUGAAUAAUUUCGCCAAACAAGAAUUUUCAGACCAAACUCAAGACUUAUUGUAUUUAUUGUAUGAAUAACUACAUAUAACAACAGUCAUAAGGACAUGAAAAAGGUCAUGAUAACAAAAGGCCAUACGGACCAUCAAGAUUUUCCCUAUUCCUACCAGGAUCAAAAUGAAAUGUAACUUUCGUGUCUAUAUAUUUAUUCAACAAGUAUUUCCAAGAGUUUAAUAGCACACUACAUCAUCAAGUUUAUAUACAAAAUCAUAAAGUACAGAGACAGAAGAUGGAAGGGUUUAACGUUAAGGAACUUUGUCAUCUCGUGACACCAUUAUAGCUAAAGACAAGAUCAAGGCUGAUAAAGUGUAACCCACAUAUAACUGUUUGGAAAAUUUAGAUAGUAUUCAUUGUACUACAGAGGCUAUGAAGAAACUUCAGAAUCAACCAAUAUAAACUGUAAUGCCUGUGGAAAACAGUAUUCAUCAAAAACAAUUAUUGUGAUCAUAUAGGCACCACCAGCACAACAGUCAUUGCCACUUUUUCAUGUUUUUAUUUUGGGAAAGUCUUCACUAGGAGAAAAGCAUUACAUUAUCAUAUAAACAUUGAUAACUAGGUGAACACAGGGUUGAGUAGGUUAUGUUAAAAUUAAUAUGGAUAAUUAAAUUAGCAAGUCAUUUGACAACCACAGCUGAUAUAAAGUCAGCGUGAGGUGGAAUUUUGAGAACUACAUCUUGACAUUUUUUAGGUAGUGUGAUGCCACCCAAAUUUUAUUACAGUUGGGAAAGGAAUGAAGAGCCCUUUCUGAUGCAAAAUAUUCAUAUUCAAAUAUCAUAAAGAUGUGUUUAGAUUGGGGAUUGAGAAUUUCUAAUAUGGGAUAUCUCUUGUACUUUAUGGCAUUAAAAAACAAAGGAAUAUUGAACAACUUGGGACAAUUCAGAAUGAGAUUUGUCUUAACCUAGCCAUGGUAAGCAAAAUGUGGUAUCUUUUAACAGGAAUCCACAAACAUAAAAGUGUUUAUUUGACUCAGAAAACAGUGAACAAUAUAAUCAAGAAAGAUCUUCAUCUGAGAAAAAAACACAAGUUGCUUUGAAGAGACAUCUGUUUAAUUACCACAUAGCUCGAUUGGUUGGAAAAUGGAUAUUCAUGCUAUUUCAUAGGAGCACAUACCAGUCAAGCCACCAGACACAGAGGUUAUGGAUUUCUGUGUCACUGGAAACUAUCAUCUUCAUACACAAGAUGGUCUAUGAAACCUAUGCAAUUAGGAGAGUUGUGCUUUGGACAUGACCCCCUUUUGCAAAGAAACUGCACUGCAGGGCUAUUGUCAAGAUGCAUGAUCAUCAGAUAGAUCAUGACCAGAUGUGAUGAAACAUUAAAAUUGUUUUAAUAUAACAUACUCAACCUCUGUACAUGUAUAGCUAAUAAAUCCAAUCUAUUGAUCACUUCGUGUAGAAAUGCUCACCAAAAAAACAACACACUGAUAUUGUAUCAGCAAUUCACAGUAUUUAAAUAAAGUGUAUUAUUACCAUUAAUUGGUGUAGCCAGGGGAAUAUUUUUUUGAUAUCACAAUAUCUUUUUAAAGAAAUUACUUUUGUUGCAGUAAUCAUAGAAAUUAAAUUCUGUCAGUAUCAAUUAAACGUUUGUUAAACAUGUAUCACUUGUCCUAUAGCACCACAACUUGUACAUAUCUUGUUGGUACUUUAGCUUUUAAUAUACAUGAAAUGGUAUUAUUGAAAUGUGUUAUGAGAGGUAUUUUUAAUAUGUACACAUAAAAUGUACAUUAUUUUCAAUUGCAGUUGUUGUAGUAUUGUGUUGCAAUCUUUUUAAAACGUUUUUUUUAUUAUGCUUUCUAGAUGUGGCUGUACUUAAAAAUGAACAACUUUAGCCAAAUUUACUCAUAAAUAAAUAUAUAACCAGUUAAUAGUUCAACUGUGAAUGCCCCCAGUGGCACAGUGGUAUGUCUGCGGACUUAUACCACUAGAAACUGGGUUUCAAUACCCAUGGUGAGCA